CUUCAUUCCCUCACUGCGGGUUAAAAGGGUGGUUAGCACAGGAGAAAGUAUUUUCUGAAAUUCUGGACGAGUGAGGGGAGCCUAUUCUGAACCGUCAUUUUCCUACCUCCCUGCACUCCUUGGCCUGUGCCGCGGAAUCUUUGCAUGAAGUCAGCUGCGCAGUGAAUUCAAAUGUUCUGUCUCCGGAGAUUGUUCUGGAAGGGUGCAUGGGAAGGAGGUGAGAACAGCAAGCCAGCCCACCAUCUCCUGCCAGUAGAAGGACCCUUCUGGAGACGUGGGUCCUUAGAAGAGUUCAACCUCUCAACAAAAGGUGUUUGGCCAAACCAUAAGAUGAGGCUUGGAACUCCUCAGCCUCCUAUCAAACCAAAGAACCUAAGAGAAGUUUCCCUGGCCUUCCUUUCCCAGCAGCACCACACUGUCCUCUUGGACAACAAUAGCUUCCCUUUAUCCGUGAUUACAGAUACCUACAGGCAACCUUCAUCUGAAAAUAUUAAUGGAAAGUUCCAGAAACAUUGAAUUUAAAAAGAAAUUACAGCGUAUGAAUUAUUCUGCUUUAUUAUUGUUUGCUAGACUCUUCCUGAAUUCAUAAAUUAAAAUUCAUCAUAGGUAUGUGUAGGAAAAAUCAUAGUCUCUAUAGGAGGCAGUACUGUUCAUGGUUUCAGACAUCUAUCUACAGGAGUCCUGGAACAUAAAACCCCUGCAGAUCAACAGGGACUACUGCAUUCUACUUUAUAAAAAGAGUAAUAAUAAUUUUUAAAAAACCUAACCACCAAAACUUCCCGUUGACAUACUGUUGGACACGGGGUAGGAACACUGCACGGCAGGCUACAGGGGCCAGGAGGAACCACACUCCACAGGAGGAGCGGCUGGCCAUCAGGGUGCGUGGCCCCAUUGGCUCCUUGAUGGGCAGUUUCUGCAGCUGUGUCUGCAUCAACCCCCAGACUCCCUGCCGGCUCCUCCUGGGGCCCUUAGGCAGCAUCUUAGUAUCAUGCCCAGCUGUGGCUUUCUCUGGCUACCUUGAUCAACCUGAGGAGCCACAUUUCUGAAAUUAAUCAUUCUUUCUUUCUUCAUCUCAGUGCUGAUCACACCUAGGGCUGAUUGAACAGCCUGCUACCACCAAACCACAUCCCUAGCCUCCUUUCUGGAAAUUCCUGAGAUUUUGGAGUUCUGAGGUUUCCAUUUCUCGUGGUUGGAUAGUCAUGGAUGUACUUGGUUUUAAGCACAUUUUCUGCCAUUUGACGGGGGCUCUGUGGGCAGAGAGGAGAAGCAGUAGUACUUCUCCGUUGGCAACAACAACAAAAAAAGUGUUGCUGUGUCAUUUUGCAUUUCUCUGYUUCCUGGCUGGUUUAUGGCAUCCCUUUUAUCUUUAAGGAGUAACUUUCUAGUUAUCAUCCCAGGGAUGAGGUAGAUCCUUGACACGAUAAGACAUGCCAACACUAAAGAAGAGAGUUCAAAUCAUGACAUCCAGGUGUGAUUCGCAAGAUGGUCACUAAAUACUCAAUAGGAGGUGCCAGCUGGACAGGAGAGGCACAUCUGUAGUCCCGGCACUAGGGAGGCGGAGUCAGGAGGUUCAUUUGAGCAUAGAAGUUUGAGAGCAGCCUGGGUAACAUAGCACGAUCCUGUGUAUUGAAUCAAAGACCAGGAAAAAGCAAACAAACAAAUAAAAAAACCCAGCCCCUUGCA
ensembl:lncRNA